GAUGAACGCUGGCGGCGUGCUUAACACAUGCAAGUCGAACGGAGUGCCUUUGAAAGAGGAUUCGUCCAAUUGAUAAGGUUACUUAGUGGCGGACGGGUGAGUAACGCGUGAGGAACCUGCCUUGGAGUGGGGAAUAACACAGUGAAGAUUGUGCUAAUACCGCAUAAUGCAGUUGGGCCGGCAUGGCUCUGACUGCCAAAGAUUUAUCGCUCUGAGAUGGACUCGCGUCUGAUUAGCUGGUUGGCGGGGUAAUGGCUCACCAAGGCGACGAUCAGUAGCCGGUCUGAGAGGAUGAACGGCCACAUUGGGACUGAGAUACGGCCCAG
rnacentral:rRNA from 1 species